rnacentral:lncRNA from 1 species
CCGGUUAUGGAUUUGGCCAGAGCCCCUCGUCGCACCGAUAAUACGUGACGAUCCUAUUGGUUUUAUAGGCUAUAAAGCCUGGGAGUUCCAAAUGGUCAUAACGGUCGUAACGAUCAGCCGAAAUACAACAUUUUAGAACUGAAAAUAUGCGGAGUGAUUAUAACUAGAGAAUAAUCAUGAUUUAUAUGUGGCUUACAGGUAUAAACUAUUGUAAACUGGCCGUUGAGAAAGAUCGUGACUCUAUUUUUACGACCAUAUGGAAACCAGACUUAAUAGACAACAAAAUGUAUGCACUUCGCGAAUAGAAUGUAGAUAGCAUGGGCCUUGGAGAACAGUUCCCAAAGCAAUGAGAAGAGAAUGCACCCAUAUGAUGAAACAUUAAUUAGGAUAACAUUUACCUUUUGGGCGAAGUCCACAAUCACAUAGUGUAACUCCACAUCCAUUGGGACUACACGGAAGUUGUUUAUUACAAUCUAUGAAUUUAAAAAAAAGAAAUUCCCAUGAAGCAUUACUUGAUUAGUUGGCCAUAUUGGCAAAUACAUGCAUGAUCAGGUAAUUAAUAGUGCAUUAUUGAGUAAUGAAGUCAAUUUGACCCACGGUCUAGAAAGUUUGAAUUCUGUUCAAUGGAUGAUUCCCAGCUAUAGACGGCUAAAUUUUGAUCUAGGCAAGAAGAACAAAAUCCAUCACCACAUGUACAGCUAGAAAGAGCAUCUUACUAAAAUUAGUAAAGUUGCAAAGUUUGGUUGCGAAAUGUUGUAAAAUGAGGAAAAUAUAGCCCUACGAAAUUUUCAAAUUUUGUAUUAAUUUGUAUUAAUGUGGUGCAUUUUCCCGCGCGUAAUAGAAAUUCAUACAAAAUUUGCAAAUUUCGCAGGGCUAUGUUUUCCGCAUUUUACAACAUUUCGCAACCAUUUGCAAUUUUACUAAUUUUAGCAUGCUCUUUCUAGCUGUGGUG